rnacentral:rRNA from 1 species
AGUGAACGCUGGCGGUAGGCCUAACACAUGCAAGUCGAACGGCAGCACAGUAAGAGCUUGCUCUUACGGGUGGCGAGUGGCGGACGGGUGAGGAAUACAUCGGAAUCUACUUUUUCGUGGGGGAUAACGUAGGGAAACUUACGCUAAUACCGCAUACGACCUACGGGUGAAAGCAGGGGAUCUUCGGACCUUGCGCGAUUGAAUGAGCCGAUGUCGGAUUAGCUAGUUGGCGGGGUAAAGGCCCACCAAGGCGACGAUCCGUAGCUGGUCUGAGAGGAUGAUCAGCCACACUGGAAAUGGGAAACGGUCCAGACUCCUACGGGAGGCAGCAGUAGGGAAUAUUGGGCAAUGGGCGAAAGCCUGAUCCAGCAAUACCGCGUGGGUGAAGAAGGCCUUCGGGUUGUAAAGCCCUUUUGUUGGGAAAGAAAAGCAGCAGGUUAAUACCCCGCUGUUCUGACGGUACCCAAAGAAUAAGCACCGGCUAACUUCGUG